rnacentral:rRNA from 1 species
UACGGAGGAUGCGAGCGUUAUCCGGAUUUAUUGGGUUUAAAGGGUGCGUAGGCGGAUUAAUAAGUCAGUGGUGAAAACCUGCAGCUUAACUGUGGAACUGCCGUUGAUACUGUUAGUCUUGAGUAUGGUCAAGGUAGGCGGAAUGUGUAAUGUAGCGGUGAAAUGCUUAGAUAUUACACAGAACACCGAUUGCGAAGGCAGCUUACUGGGCCGUUACUGACGCUGAUGCACGAAAGCGUGGGGAUCGAACAGGAUUAGAUACCCUGGUAGUCCACGCCGUAAACGAUGAUCACUCGCUGUUGGCGAUACACAGUCAGCGGCUAAGCAAAAGCAUUAAGUGAUCCACCUGGGGAGUACGGCCGCAAGGCUGAA